rnacentral:rRNA from 1 species
CCUACGGGUGGCAGCAGUGAGGAAUAUUUGUCAAUGGGCGGAAGCCUGAACCAGCCAAGUAGCGUGCGGGAUGAAGGCCCUACGGGUCGUAAACCGCUUUUGCACGGGGAUAACACCCUCCACUUGUGGAGGUCUGCAGGUACCGUGCGAAUAAGGGCCGGCUAAUUCCGUGCCAGGCGCCGCUGUAAUACGGAAGGCCCGAGCGUUAUCCGGAUUCAUUGGGGUUAAAGGGAGCGUAGGCGGGCGUUAAAGUCAGCUGUAAAAUCGCGCGGCUCAACCGCGCCCCGCAGUUGAAACUGGACGCCUUGAGUCCACAACAGGCAGGCGGAAUUCGUGGUGUAGCGGUGAAAUGCAUAGAUAUCGCGCAGAACUCCGAUUGCGAAGGCAGCAUGCCGGCUCCACACUGACGCUGAGGCACGAAAGCGUGGGUAUCGAACAGGAUUAGAUACCCCUGUAGUC